CGGAGGGUGCGAGCGUUAUCCGGAAUUACUGGGUUUAAAGGGUGCGUAGGCGGCCUUGUAAGUCAGGAGUGAAAGUUUGCGGCUCAACCGUAAAAUUGCUUUUGAUACUGCGAGGCUAGAAUUAGGAUGAGGUCAGCGGAAUGUGGCAUGUAGCGGUGAAAUGCAUAGAUAUGCCAUAGAACACCAAUUGCGAAGGCAGCUGGCUAGACCUGGAUUGACGCUGAGGCACGAAAGCGUGGGGAGCGAACAGGAUUAGAUACCCUGGUAGUCCACGCCCUAAACGAUGCUUACUCGACGUAUGGCCCUAGAGGUUGUGCGUCCAAGGGAAACCGUUAAGUAAGCCACCUGGGGAGUACGACCGCAAGGUUG
rnacentral:rRNA from 1 species